rnacentral:lncRNA from 1 species
GCCCUCUGUGCAUGCCAUGCUUAAUAAAGGCAAUAAAAAGGUGCUUCGUUCCAAGCCUCUAAACCCCAAACCUGGGCGGCACUGCUUCCUUCCUUGGAAAAGCAAUUACAUGGCAAGACAUUACGUUUCUUUCUAACCAGCUGACCAGAUUCAAGUUGGCCAAAAGAAGAGGUGAACUAUAGUCAUGGUUGUGAUCGUCUCGCUACUCACAACGGGGAAGCUGUCCACGUGGAUUGUAAACUCCGCGCUGCUGGGCCGUUUAUCUCUGCCACCACAACAGCCCGGGCCGCAAACAGGCGAGCCGUUCUCUGCCCGGCUCCUGGGCUCCCGCCGGGAGGGCACAAUUAAGACAGACCCUUGCCUUCUUGGCUGCCAAAGCAUUUCAGCUUCUGAAGAGCAUGGGAAGCAACGCCAUCAACCCCCCUGAGGAAAUAAAUAAAUAAAUUAAUUAAUUAAAUAAAUGCA